UGUUUGUUGCUCAUCUCUGUCUGUUCAUGGGAGCCCUGGGUCUGAAACUCUGUGGGCUUGUUUGGCAGAUUCACUGUGACCUAUGGAGUGACUUCAUGGCUUGAAGUCAGACCUGCCUCAUCACUGUCAUAACGGCUUAUGACUUGGGCUCUUGGUUGGAUGUAGACAGAAUCUCAGGGUUUGUCCUGCUUGUCUUGCUUGUGUGCUGUGGGACUGGGCCCUGCCUUGUGAGGCCCUGCUACUCAUGUUAUACCCAUUGGCUCUCCAGCCCUUCAGGAACAUCCAGUGUAAAGGACGGAUAUUCAGUGUUUGUCUGCAGAUGAGCUUGUUCCUUGAGGAUUCAACCCUGAGAUGCAUUUCUCCUCAGGGGCACCCUGAGCGGUGUACCAACUUGGUGAUCAAGGGUGCAGCCUGCUGCAAUCACUGAACUGCAGGGGUUGGAAGUGACCUCAAGAGAUCAUCGGGUCCAACCACCCUGCCAAAGCAGGUUCCCUAGAGCAGGAUCUCCAUGUUUCUGAGGCCAGGUGACAUUUCCAGUGGACGGAUCUAGUUAUUGACAAGUGAUAACACUUAUAUCACCACUGUAUAGAUCGUCAGCCCCUCAUUUCACCUUGUUUUGGUUUUGUUGGUUCGGUUUGGUUUUCCCCAUCCCCCCUUUGUUCUAAACAGUAAAACAACAAAGGUAAUUCAAGCAAGGGGAAAAACAGAGAAAGCUAAAAUUCAUUACAAAACUUUGGAUUUCAUUUAAGCUGUGUUUCUGUACCUUUGGAAUUACUUUUUUAAAAAGCAAUCAGAAGUCCAUUAACAUUAAUAUAAUAUGGUUAUAAUUAAACCACUUGGAUUCCAACAGGACUUUCUUUGGUCCAAACUGAAAUUUUAGUGACAAUUUGUUGUAAAUAAAUGGAAAUUACAGUGACACAACUGGAGGAUCUUUCUUUUGUUGUCUUGAUGCUGAGAGGUAUAUGAUUUUUUUCCUCUCAUCAGAUGCAUGCUGGCAUGUUCACCUUUUGAACACAGUAACAUUGGUAUUAAUGAGCAAUAUUAAAAUGUCCUUAAGCAGAACAAACAUCUUAUCCACCAAUGUUGAGAAAAGGUCAUUCAUAUGGCUCAGUCUUUUCAAUGCUGCCAUCUGUAAUUUAGGCAUUUUAAUAUGUUGGCAUAUUAAAUAGUACAUUUGCUCCUGGUGACUAAGCAAUACUUAGGUAGUGGACCCAUUCUGGAUGAUACCGCAAAAGUUCUGGGGAAAAAAGAUUGUAAGCUGCACUGCUGUCAGCAGAUAGUUGUAUAAGAAGACCCUUGAUAAAUUUGAUUACUUUGGAGGUACUGCUCUGAAAGGCCUUUAGACACUACUCCAUUUCAUCUGUAAUUUUUUUUUCUGUUUUUGGGUAGAUUAUAUGGAUGGAAAACUGAUGUGAUUUACGUGCCCCUACAUUGUGUACCACUGUGUACAUAGAACACUGUGGGUAACACAAGAAUGUAGUGGAUUCAAGGCUAUAUUGAAUUUAUUCAUAAUAAUAGAUUCACAGAUCUGUCACCACCUUUCAACUAAACAAGUGAAAGAGUCUUGUACACAAUCUCACUCAUAUUGUGAUUGCCUUUUUAAAAUCUUGCAUGUCAGUAUUCUUUGACAUUUUCUGACAUUGGGAUCUCUUUUCAGACUUUAUUCUGAAGACAUAGGUCUUUAUCAAUUGAAAUACAUGGUUUAAUCCUUAAGGUUGAAAUGUUUUUUAAUAUUCAAGGUAAAUUUAGUUGGCUAGUAUAGGAAUUGCUGUAUAUUCCCCAUAGCUACUGACAUAAUAUUAAUUUAGACUGUUUUGUUUUUAAAAUAGCAGAAAUGAAUUGCAUUUUUAACAUUAAAUUCUGCUUGGGCAUGGACUUCAUCCCAAUGUCACUGUGUUAAUUAAAAGUCGCAUCUGCUGUUAUUUGUACUUUGAAAAAAAAAAAUAUUCCCAGUGUAUAUAACAUUCAAAAGAUCAUAGUAAAUAUAGUGUAGUCCUAACAAAACAAACAAGUCUUUCUACAAUUAAAU